UACGAAGGGGGCUAGCGUUGCUCGGAAUUACUGGGCGUAAAGCGCACGUAGGCGGAUCGUUAAGUCAGGGGUGAAAUCCUGGAGCUCAACUCCAGAACUGCCUUUGAUACUGGCGAUCUUGAGUUCGGGAGAGGUGAGUGGAACUGCGAGUGUAGAGGUGAAAUUCGUAGAUAUUCGCAAGAACACCAGUGGCGAAGGCGGCUCACUGGCCCGAUACUGACGCUGAGGUGCGAAAGCGUGGGGAGCAAACAGG
rnacentral:rRNA from 1 species